GAUGAUGAACUAUAAUCCUCAAUAAAGAGGGAAGAUAAAACUCCUAUUUAUAAUUGGUUCAAUACCCUGUACAUAGGUAGUUAAAUUCAUUGCAAUGAAUCAAUGUAAUACUCCACAAAAUGAUUUAAUUACAAUUCUUUCUGUCGAAAAUAGUGUUUGAUCUACUGGCGCCCCGCCAAACAUAUGGAUCAAGCUAAAAAUAACUCUUUAUAUACUUGUAAUAUAUUUCAGUUCUGAUAGCGAGUCAGUUGUUACUUUUACUCGACAUACCUCGCGGGUUUUUUCCUAUUCAACCAAUGGCAUUGAGUUGAUACGUCCUCAAAAUCAUGGAAAUUCGCGACCGAUACUCUAGAGGCAGUUCUCGUAGCCGGGGCUCAUCCUCAGCAAGCGAGAUCGACCCCAGAGAAAAAAUAAAAGAUUGCUGCAGAAAAAUUAUAGCCUUCAUGUUCACCCAAAUCGGUAUGGGAGUGUUGGUGUUCGGAUACACUCUGGUAGGCGCAGCAAGCUUCAUGCAUAUCGAAAAAGACGGGAACAACUCUAAACUUGAAGAAAUAGUCAAGAUCAGAGCAGAUUAUGCCUUAAAGUUGUAUGAUGCAGCAGUGAUUUACAACAUCUUCGACCAGAAAAACUUCACUGCUGAAGCAGGAAAGGUGCUCAAGACAUAUCAGGACACAGUGGUGAAGAUUCUCAGACACGGUUAUGAUGACAGGAAAAUGGUGGAAGUAUGGACGUUUCCAGCAGCUUUAAUGUUUUCACUGAGCAUCAUAACUAUGAUUGGGUUUGGAAACCUUGUACCAAAAACCAAGUACGGGAAGCUGGCAACCAUAAUAUACGCCUUGAUAGGCAUUCCACUCUACGUGCUGUAUUUUUUGAAUGUGGGAAAUGCGCUUGCAGGCGGUUUCCGUUGGUUGUACAGGAAACUUUACGAGUGCUCCACAGAGAUCGAUGAAGAACAAGGAGAACUCCCGAAAAGGAUAAUCGUGCCUUCCACCGCUUGCCUUUGGGUGAUCGUGGCGUAUAUCCUGACAGGGGCCAUCAUGUUCUUCACCUGGGAGGGCUGGGACUUCUUGGACAGCAUUUAUUUCUGCGUCACCAGCUUGUGCAAACUCGGGAUGGGGGAUUUCGUCCCGGGAGCUAACUAUGCUUCGGCUGAUAAAGGAAAUCAGACAAAGCUCAUGAUUAGUUAUGUUUAUAUAUUUUUUGGAUUGGCGCUGGUCGCGAUGUGCUACAAUUUGAUGAGGGAAGAGAUAAGGGAGAAAGUUAGAGAGAUCAAGGAGGAUUGCGGGCAGUGCUUAGAAGAAACUAAGAUGAGGUUGGUGAGGUGUUGUCAUCGAAUACGAGGUACCAGAGAGGUGUACUAUUAACCAGCUCGUGUGUACCUUGUUAAGACAAUAAGCUUGUUAUUAUUUUUCAAUGGGGAUGGGGUAGGGGCAUCGUGACGUUUUUAAAGAGAAAUAGAUCAAAAAAGUAGUGUGGUACAAGAAACAAGGAAUAUUGCAUUAUGUUCAAGAUAUAAUCAGGUAUUGAGUGAUUACCUGGAAGAUGAAUGGUUUUCAACGUAUCCCUUUCCUUAUGAGACUGACUAAAGUUGCUGGUUUUGGAGAAAGACUUAAUGAUAUAGUGUAUGGAUCACCAACAAGAGUUGCGGAGAAACCAAGUAUUGUGGUAUUUUUUGGGGGAGAUGUUCAGGAUUUCACAGAAAACAUGCUGAGUAACGGAAAAAAUAAGGAGUAUGUGAAAUGGAACUUGGAAAAUACUGCAAAGCUGUUGCAGUCAACUUUUGCUGAAAGCCACAUUGUUGUUGUGAAACCUGCUAGG
rnacentral:misc_RNA from 1 species